CGAAUGCUGACAUAAGUAACGAUAAAGCGGGUGAAAAGCCCGCUCGCCGGAAGACCAAGGGUUCCUGUCCAACGUUAAUCGGGGCAGGGUGAGUCGACCCCUAAGGCGAGGCCGAAAGGCGUAGUCGAUGGGAAACAGGUUAAUAUUCCUGUACUUGGUGUUACUGCGAAGGGGGGACGGAGAAGGCUAUGUUGGCCGGGCGACGGUUGUCCCGGUUUAAGCGUGUAGGCUGGUUUUCCAGGCAAAUCCGGAAAAUCAAGGCUGAGGCGUGAUGACGAGGCACUACGGUGCUGAAGCAACAAAUGCCCUGCUUCCAGGAAAAGCCUCUAAGCAUCAGGUAACAUCAAAUCGUACCCCAAACCGACACAGGUGGUCAGGUAGAGAAUACCAAGGCGCUUGAGAGAACUCGGGUGAAGGAACUAGGCAAAAUGGUGCCGUAACUUCGGGAGAAGGCACGCUGAUAUGUAGGUGAAGUCCCUCGCGGAUGGAGCUGAAAUCAGUCGAAGAUACCAGCUGGCUGCAACUGUUUAUUAAAAACACAGCACUGUGCAAACACGAAAGUGGACGUAUACGGUGUGACGCCUGCCCGGUGCCGGAAGGUUAAUUGAUGGGGUCAGCGCAAGCGAAGCUCUUGAUCGAAGCCCCGGUAAACGGCGGCCGUAACUAUAACGGUCCUAAGGUAGCGAAAUUCCUUGUCGGGUAAGUUCCGACCUGCACGAAUGGCGUAAUGAUGGCCAGGCUGUCUCCACCCGAGACUCAGUGAAAUUGAACUCGCUGUGAAGAUGCAGUGUACCCGCGGCAAGACGGAAAGACCCCGUGAACCUUUACUAUAGCUUGACACUGAACAUUGAGCCUUGAUGUGUAGGAUAGGUGGGAGGCUUUGAAGUGUGGACGCCAGUCUGCAUGGAGCCGACCUUGAAAUACCACCCUUUAAUGUUUGAUGUUCUAACGUUGACCCGUGAUCCGGGUUGCGGACAGUGUCUGGUGGGUAGUUUGACUGGGGCGGUCUCCUCCUAAAGAGUAACGGAGGAGCACGAAGGUUGGCUAAUCCUGGUCGGACAUCAGGAGGUUAGUGCAAUGGCAUAAGCCAGCUUGACUGCGAGCGUGACGGCGCGAGCAGGUGCGAAAGCAGGUCAUAGUGAUCCGGUGGUUCUGAAUGGAAGGGCCAUCGCUCAACGGAUAAAAGGUACUCCGGGGAUAACAGGCUGAUACCGCCCAAGAGUUCAUAUCGACGGCGGUGUUUGGCACCUCGAUGUCGGCUCAUCACAUCCUGGGGCUGAAGUAGGUCCCAAGGGUAUGGCUGUUCGCCAUUUAAAGUGGUACGCGAGCUGGGUUUAGAACGUCGUGAGACAGUUCGGUCCCUAUCUGCCGUGGGCGCUGGAGAACUGAGGGGGGCUGCUCCUAGUACGAGAGGACCGGAGUGGACGCAUCACUGGUGUUCGGGUUGUCAUGCCAAUGGCACUGCCCGGUAGCUAAAUGCGGAAGAGA
rnacentral:rRNA from 1 species